UACGGAGGAUCCAAGCGUUAUCCGGAUUUAUUGGGUUUAAAGGGUGCGUAGGCGGUUUGAUAAGUUAGAGGUGAAAUAUCGGGGCUCAACUCCGAGACUGCCUCUAAUACUGUUGAGCUAGAGAGUAGUUGCGGUAGGCGGAAUGUAUGGUGUAGCGGUGAAAUGCGUAGAGAUCAUACAGAACACCGAUUGCGAAGGCAGCUUACCAAACUAUAUCUGACGUUGAGGCACGAAAGCGUGGGUAGCAAACAGG
rnacentral:rRNA from 1 species